GAUCGCCUACGAUAUCUCCCAUUCAGCGUCGAUAGUGAAAGCUGUAAAGACGGUGCCUAUAGAGAUAGGAAGAGAGCGCGGCCGACGAGAAGCCGAAGACAGCGGCUGUGCUCACGGGGCAGCGCGCACUUCGAUUUAAUACCUCUCUGUCCUCGCACGGCUUCUUUCUCAGGCACAGAGAUUUACUUCAACUCGAGUGCGUGCGUGCAAAGAGUGCCGCCAUGCUCCAUCGGUCAUUCGCUUCGCUCUUCCUGAAGGGCAUCUUCAAAGUCAAUAAGCCCCCCGUUACGGGCUACGAGAUCGCCGAGCUACCCAAUGAGAAAGUGCUUCAUGACUUCAUGCAGUUCUACCGCACAAAGGGGGUGGUGGUCGUUCUGCACAGUGGCGCCUCGUAUGCCGCAGCCGCUGCGGCCUCCUCCGGCGGGUCGCGCUCGACCCUGACGAGUGCGUCAGCCAACUCUUCUGGAAAAGCUCACUCAGCCGCGACAGCGAAGUCGGCAUCGACGCCAAAGCCCAAGACGGAACUACUGCAGGACCCUCUUACUCGAUCAUUCAUCUCUUCCAUCAACGCGAUGAACUUAGGCAAUCCAGAGGAAGUAAAGCUGGCCCUUGUUCCCGGGCCGCAAGCGCCGUGCUUCGUAGAGGAGCACAACGUCAUCACGUACCCGACCUCGUUGCUGUUCUUGAAUGGGCAAUGCAUUUAUCGCGUCGUUGGUGCGCGGACGCGUGAGCUGUCCAUCAAGUCCCUUUUCAUGCUGCGCAAUGGAGGGCGAAACAUUUUUUCGCGCGACUAGGUCCAUUUAGUGUGCACUUGUGCUACAGAGCAUGUGAGGACUGCCUUUGCAUGUGGUAACGAAGUCACGCGGCGCUCACGCAGGGUGGUGACGCGAAACAUACCUGCAUGGGUUAUAUGCGACGGUUGAGCGGUGCCGGUAUUGUUUAUCCCGUCGUUUAGGGAGGCACACUCUUUCCUACUACCUCCUUUGCCCUACCGAGACGGGUUUGGUGGACCGCUCGUAUGGCGGUGUUUUGCUCCUCACAGAAGGGGGCUAGUUCGGGUAAGAGUAACGUCAGUAGAGAAAUGCAAGGAGCACGGCGAGUCGUGCUCUUGUUUCGUGAAGUCGACUGGUGUUCUGGAGAGCAGAGGAGAGAUGCAGAUUGGGCAGCGAGGGGUGUGUCUUUGUCGACGGGCAUCCAACUGCGCUCUCUUGCUACGCGGAAUGCAGAGGGCCCUCUGCAUAUACGACAGUACUGAAUCCGCGAACGCUUGGUGAUCUACCCGUCCUUCCUCGCACUUACGUGCAUGGCUCUCUGGUCGAAAA
rnacentral:misc_RNA from 1 species